rnacentral:rRNA from 1 species
CAGCCCUAAACGAUGCGCGUUAGGUGUAUCGGUGACCACGAGUCACCGAGGUGCCGAAGGGAAACCGUGAAACGUGCCGCCUGGGAAGUACGGUCGCAAGGCUGAAACUUAAAGGAAUUGGGCGGGGGAGCACCACAACGGGUGGAGCCUGCGGUUUAAUUGGACUCAACGCCGGGAAGCUCACCGGAUAAGACAGCGGAAUGAUUGCCGGGCUGAAGACCCUGCAUGACCAGCUGAGAGGAGGUGCAUGGCGUAGUCGUGU